rnacentral:lncRNA from 1 species
CAAUUAAAAAUAAAACGUAACAUUUCAGCACCCUAUGGAACAUUAUGCUGGAGAAGUGGAUGUCUUUCUUGUUUUUCUCCCUUCAUGGUUUACCCAAGUCUUUUGUUACAUUGAUUUCCAUCACUGAUAACUGCUGGCCAAGGAAACCAAUGCUAAGGACAGACUUCAACAUAAAUCCACAUUAACUUGGCUAAAACCCAACUACACUGCCCUCCCAAUGGCUUCUACCACUUCCCUAGAUCUCCUCUAUCCCUA